GUGUGUGUGUGUCGAGUAUCGUGUAUGUGUAUGUGUAUCGUGUGGGUAGGUGCAUGUGUGUGUGCUGUCGCACAGACAUGGGGUGCAACGGUUAGGUUGGGAGGGGGCUUGACGCCCCUCCCCUCGCAUGUAUUGAUCCUUCCGCAGGUUCACCUACGGAAA
rnacentral:misc_RNA from 1 species